CGCGUAGGUGGUAGUGCAAGUCUGGGGUGGAAUCUUAGGGCUUAACCCUAAAAUUGCCUUGGAAACUGUAUUACUUGAGUCAGUGAGGGGAAGGUAGAAUUCCCGGUGUAGCGGUGAAAUGCGUAGAUAUCGGGAGGAAGGCCUGUGGCGAAGGCGGCCUUCUGGCGCUGAACUGACACUGAGGCGCGAAAGCGUGGGUAGCAAACAGGAUUAGAUACCCUGGUAGUCCACGCCCUAAACGGUGGAUACUAGGUGUAGGGCUCGUAAGGGUUCUGUGCCGAAGCGAAAGCAUUAAGUAUCCCGCCUGGGGAGUACGGCCGCAAGGUUGAA
rnacentral:rRNA from 1 species